rnacentral:rRNA from 1 species
UACGGAAGGGGCUAGCGUUGUUAGGAAUUACUGGGCGUAAAGUGCGAGAAGGCGGCUUACCAAGUUGGGGGUGAAAGCCCGGAGCUCAACUCCGGAACUGCCUUCGAAACUGGUAGGCUCGAGUCCGGAAGAGGGGCGUGGAAUUCCCAGAGUAGAGGUGAAAUUCGUAGGUAUUGGGAAGAACACCGGUGGCGAGGGCGGCGCCCUGGUCCGGUCCUGCCGCUGAGGCGCGAAAGCGUGGGGGGCCAACAGG